GGCAGCACACUCACCCUGAGCUGGGUCACUAGGGGAGCUGGCAUCUGGAUCCUUCCCCCGGCUCCAGGGACCCCAGGAAAAGCAUGCCAGCAGUGCUGGGAGGCCCGGUCUCUCCCCGGGUCCUGCUGCUAGAAAGAACACAAAGUCCCAGACGCAGCAGCUCCUGGCCAGCAUGUCUCCUGCCCAGAGAGAUUAAUGGAAGAUUCAGUCAGGAUGGGUCUGGGGGACCCAGUCUCCAUUCAAUUCAAGGGGCUGCGAACUGACAUAUCAGAGAAGCCACCCUGGGACCUUCUGCUGAAAUCAGAGACUAUUUCAAUGGCAGUAUCCUCCCCAAAACAGUCUGCCCGUCACACACAGAGAGAGAGAGAGAGGCAGAGACACAGGCAGAGAGAGAAGCAGGCUCCAUGCACCGGGAGCCCGACGUGGGACUCGAUCCAGGGUCUCCAGGAUCGCGCCCUGAGCCAAAGGCAAGCGCCAAACCGCUGCGCCACCCAGGGAUCCCUGGUUUGUCUUUCUUGAGGCAAACUUGAGAAGACCAAUCUGUAGUCAAGGAAAUGCUAACUCUCUCAGCCACCAACGCAUAUAACAAAAACCUAAAAACAGUAUGUUUGCAAGGCACCUGGGUGGCUCAGUCAGUCAAGUGUUUGACUCUUGGUUUCGGUUCAGGU